GUGGAUAGGGGGGUGCACCCUCUGCUGUUUCCUGAAGUCCACGAUCAUCUCCUUUGUUUUGUUGAUGAAACAAGGUCACAGAGGUGCUUCCCAUCAAGUAUACUAGCUCAGAGCGGGAGGAAGUGGGGAAGAAGCGCUACGAAGCUCAGAAAAUGGAGAGACUACAGACGAGGGAGAGAAACGGAGAGCUGCUGACGCCUAUGUCUGCCCCAGACAGAACAACAAAAGGUAUGUCUGUAUGGAUUUUCAAAAGGUUGCAUGCAUGUCAGCACAGAGAAAUUGGGAUGGAUGGAUGGAAUUUUUUCAUCCUUGAACACUUCGCAAAGUAUUCCUGGUUAUGCCCUGAUUAUUUUAGUAACACCGAGGCCAUUUAACUGUCUCAAUACUAAUAUUUCAGCCUAGUUUUUUUCUGUGCGUGCAUUCGUGUGUGUGCGUGUGUGGCAGAGCCCUACGCGGUUGGCUUUAGCCAGUCCAGUCUGAUGUCUGAUCCGUCUGGUGGGACCUUCAGAGACUGCACGCUGCACGGCUUUGUACAUGGAGCCUUCAUUUCUCAGAACAAGAAUAGACUGACGAGUUUCAG